rnacentral:misc_RNA from 1 species
GGUCAUGCUGAAGCACAACAAUCGAUAAACGAUAGAUACGCCUACCCACUUCGAUGACAGUCUUGUUAUUGUAAUUGUGAAGCAAAAUCGUAAAUAUUAGCAAAUGAACCACUUCUACGCCCCUCGAACGUGUUGAGUUGCGAGGCAGACAAGCACCGCAGCGCAUUCAAGCCCCCCCGGUUCCAGUCCGCCGUCCAGGAGCUGCGAGGCCACCCAUAACCGCGUGCGAACUCGAGGAGAAGCGAUCGGUGCCAUGUCAGCUCAACUGGCCAGAAACUGGCCGUACAUCUGGCAACAGCUGAACGCCCUGCUGCACAACACCUCGCCGGUGAUCACCCUCAUCUGCGUGGUGACCACGUUCGGCUACCUGCUCUCCUUCUCGGAGACGGCCAUCCUGCUGCUCAGCGUCACGCCCGGAUACAUCCUGCCCAACGGCAAGUUCUGGAUAUGGACCGCAUUCACGUUCUGCUUCAUCGAGCUGCACUGGUGGGAGGUGGCCGUCGACGUGGUCACCGUGGGCCUAUGCGGCAAGAUGCUGGAGCCGCUCUGGGGUCAGCUGGAGAUGUUUAAGUUCUUCGCCCUGAGCAACUUUGGUGUCUCGCUGCUGACCACCGUCUACUACCUGUUCUACUACAUGGUCACCAAAAACCCAACCAUUCUCUUCGAGGUGCACAUCCACGGCCUGGCCGGAUACGUGGCCGGCAUCUGCGUAGCCGUGCGCCAGAUAAUGCCCGAUCACCUGAUCUUCAAGACGCGCUACGGACGUCUGACCAAUAGGAACGUUCCCCUCACUGUUCUCAUUAUGGCCAUCAUCUUGUGGGCCAUCGGCCUACUAGAUGGCACUUAUCCGGCUAUGUUUGCCUCCGGAUCGCUGGUUUCAUGGAUCUAUCUUCGCUUUUACCAACACCAUCCCAAUGGGCGUGGCGACAGCUCGGAGAGCUUCACGUUCGUCAGCUUCUUCCCAAACGUAUCGCAGCCGUUUAUCAGCGUAAUGGUUAAUCCCAUUUACAACUGCUGUUUGCGGGCGGGCGUGGUCAAGACGCCCACGCCGCUGCGGACGAUAUCUACGGCCAGCCUGACGUCGGUAUCGGUGCAAAUGCCGGGAGUGGAUCCGCAUGACAUUGAAAGAAGGCGACAAAUUGCCCUAAAGGCGCUAAGUGAGCGGCUCAAGGCCACGGACUCCAGCCGCCAUGCCCAGCUGCCCAAGUCGUUCCCGCAGCAGCAGCAGUUGCAACAUCAUCACCAGCAUGCGCCGCACCAGCAGCAAAAGCAUCACAGUCACGGUGGGGGGCACAGUCACAGCCAUGGAGCGGGUCAUAGUCAUAGUCAUGGGGCGGGACACAGUCAUGGUCCCGGUCCCGCUCAAAUGCCGCAGCCCGACUUCCUAAAGCCCACCGGCAGCUCUAGCCAGCUGCCCAUCACAACGUCGCGGGCGGAGCCGCGCAUGAUCAGCACCAUGAGCCAGAUACCAAUACCAAUGCCAGCGCCACCACCCAAGGAAGGGAAUAUUCCGGGUCAAGGUGCUGAAUUCACAACCGGAGGCGAUGCGACACUUAUCAACCUGGACGAUGUACCAACUACGUCUUCGAUGGCCUAGACAGUGAUUCUAUGCAAACAUUAAUGAAUUUUUGAUAUUUAAACGAAUGAUCUAAUGAUUUACGCCCAUGUUUUGUAUGAUUCUGCAUCAAUGUCCUGUAGACUUACGCUUGCUUGCUGCGCACACCGCCGGCCAUGCUACUAGGAUCAGUGAAGUGAAGUAAUAUGAGAUCAGCAUAAACAAAUACCUUCCAGGCAAUAUGAGAAUACUAGAGCCUUUACAUAGAUGCAUACUUUCUGUUGUAGUCCUUACAUGUAAUUGAAAAUGAUGCUUUAUUUAGUUAAUAACUGUAAAUAUAUUUAAAACUCCAAAAACAUUGUUGUUUUUC